AUUGAACGCUGGCGGCAGGCCUAACACAUGCAAGUCGAACGGUAACAGGAAGCAGCUUGCUGCUUCGCUGACGAGUGGCGGACGGGUGAGUAAUGUCUGGGAAACUGCCUGAUGGAGGGGGAUAACUACUGGAAACGGUAGCUAAUACCGCAUAACGUCGCAAGACCAAAGAGGGGGACCUUAGGGCCUCUUGCCAUCGGAUGUGCCCAGAUGGGAUUAGCUAGUAGGUGGGGUAACGGCUCACCUAGGCGACGAUCCCUAGCUGGUCUGAGAGGAUGACCAGCCACACUGGAACUGAGACACGGUCCAGACUCCUACGGGAGGCAGCAGUGGGGAAUAUUGCACAAUGGGCGCAAGCCUGAUGCAGCCAUGCCGCGUGUAUGAAGAAGGCCUUCGGGUUGUAAAGUACUUUCAGCGGGGAAGAAGGGAGUAAAGUUAAUACCUUUGCUCAUUGACGUUACCCGCAGAAGAAGCACCGGCUAACUCCGUG
rnacentral:rRNA from 1 species